CUGCUGUGCCGUCCUCGCCGGGGCGUCCCGUGCAGACCAUGAUGACGAUAUGGAGUCCACGCCUGAGCAAGCUGCUCGGAGCAAUAAUGCGCCUCGCGAGCCUACUACGGAGCCUGUGCCCUCCUGCUCGGUGGGCUCCUAACAUCAGGAAACACAGGAGCACGAGGACGUCCUCCAGUCAGGAGAGGCCGUGUUAGAAGAAUAGUGAAGAAAGGUCACCGUAGGAGAGAUGACGCGCGUACGCUGUGCGCGUUUCAGUUCGAGACGCACUUCGUGAACUGUGAACGUGUUUCGUGUAGUCCCUUGUCCGUUUGGAGAGUUAACCUGCCUAAUUUUGUAAUCGAGUAGUAUUCGUUAAAGUUAUUUAAACGUUAGCUUUAUAUUAUUUUUGUAACACAUUUGGUUUAGACUCCUGAUAUAAGUAUAAAAGUUUGUAAGUAA
rnacentral:misc_RNA from 1 species